AAACCAGUUGGGAGACCUCACUCAGAUGCGUACUGCUUACCGCAAGGCUGCUGCAGUAGAACAAACCUGGGACCUCUGAGAAGAGCUGGCCGGAGACCCAUUGGUUACUGGUCUCUUCCGUCCUGGGAUAGAUAUGGCCUUCCUGCUCAUCUCACUUUGCCUACCUGGGACAUGAAGGCUCUCCAUUCUUUCUUCGAUCUAUCUUUGGGAGUGACUGGAUCUUGGAAAGACUUUGCCAGCAAGAAAGAGAACCUAAGACGAUGGCUA